AGGCAAUCCUCCUGCCUCAGCCUCUCGAGUGCUGGGAUCACAGCUCAGGACUUGAACGUGUCUUUUGGAGGGACACAAUUCACGGCUGAACAGGGAGCCACUACUGAACAGGAACUUGGUGACAGGACCAUGGACCAUCGGAGUCACUUCAGGCGUCCCCCGUGAGUUUGGGUUCAGGGGCUGAAGGUUCAGGCCUGGAGCACGUGGCCUGAGGUCCCACGGGCAAUGUCUGCGUCUCUUUGGAAGCCAUCGGCUGAGAUCCUAACUCUUUCUUCCUCCCCCUUUCUGGCUGAGUCAGGGUGUCUCUGCAUCUAGUCCAGGCCACCCAUCUGCGCCGCCACACCCAGCUUGGUGACAUCCUAACCCUCUUUUAGUUUUUUUCCAGUACCAGGAAUCGAACUCACAACCUUGCACUUGCCAGGCAGGCGCUUUGCUGCUGAGCUUAAUUCCCAGCCCGGCAUCCUAACUCUCAAUUGGGCAAUGCACGGGUGUUGUGUUGGGAUUACAAGUGCUUCAUUAUGUUAGGUUCUAUUUUUUAUUUAUGUAUUUAUUUAUUUAUUCCGG